rnacentral:rRNA from 1 species
UACGUAGGGUGCGAGCGUUAAUCGGAAUUACUGGGCGUAAAGCGUGCGCAGGCGGUUCGUUGUGUCGGCGGUGAAAGCCCCGGGCUCAACCUGGGAAUGGCCGUUGAAACUGGCGAACUGGAGUGUGGCAGAGGGGGGUGGAAUUCCGCGUGUAGCAGUGAAAUGCGUAGAUAUCUGGAAGAACACCAAUGGCGAAGGCAAUGUUCUGGCUCGUUUCUGACGCUCAGGUGCGAAAGCCAGGGGAGCGAACGGG